ACGGAAGGCAGCAGUGAGGAAUAUUGGUCAAUGGAGGCAACUCUGAACCAGCCAUCUCGCGUGAAGGAAUACGGCCCUAUGGGUCUUAAACUUCUUUUAUAGGGGGAUAAAGUGAGGCAUGUAUGCCUUUUUGUAGGUACCCUAUGAAUAAGCAUCGGCUAACUCCGUGCCAGCAGCCGCGGUAAUACGGAGGAUGCGAGCGUUAUCCGGAUUUAUUAGGUUUAAAGGGUGCGCAGGCGGGACAUUAAGUCGGUGGUGAAAUACCGUGGCCCAACCACGGGGCUGCCAUCGAUACUGAUGACCUUGAGUGCGUGUGACGUAGGCGGAAUGUGACGUGUAGCGGUGAAAUGCUUAGAUAUGUCACAGAACACCGACUGCGAAGGCAGCCUACGAAUGCGUAACUGACGCUCAUGCACGAAAGCGCGGGUAGCGAACAGGAUUAGAUACCCUGGUA
rnacentral:rRNA from 1 species